rnacentral:rRNA from 1 species
UGAACAUUUCAUUGAUGUGUAAGAUUAAUUCUAUUAACUAAACUACAUAUGGCAGCCAACACACAUUGUGAAAAUAACCCCCGCAACUAGAACACUACCUAAAAGGUAGUUGUCCUACGGGACACAGGAUUAUCCACAAACAACCUGAGGUAUACACCCGCAACACCAAUGUAUUAUAUUAACACAGCCAGGAAACUUGGCCUUAGAGAUAAAUAAAAGAUAUGACAAAAAAGGUGCCAGCAGUCGCGGUUACACCUUUAUAUCAAGUUAAUCACAACCCUAUAGAAACAAUCAUAAUUUUGGCUCAAACUCCAACUCCAGGUGUAAAACCCACAAAAGUUGGCUAUACCUAAACUAACCUUACAUGAUAAUUUCAACAAACCAUAAAACAAAACCUGGAUUAGAUACCCAAUUAUUGCAUGGCACAACAAUUAGAAUACUAAGAACGAAAGUUUAAAACUCAAACAAUGUGGCGGUACUUUACUCCUUAUCAGGGGAUCCUGUGUCUUAAAUCGAUAAUCCACGAACCACUCAAGCUUCCCUUGUCCACAGCUUAUGUAUGGCCGUCCACGUCUGCUUAACAAAAAAACCACAGGAAACAAAAGGGCACCAACCCUAAAACUCAGGUGACACAUAGCCUAUGGGAAGCAGAUCAUGGGAUACAAAUAACUAUCAUUAUUCAAAUUAGACCUUAAAACCUCUAUGAAGGAGGACUUGAAAGUAAGAUAACUUCACCACAACUAUCUGAACAAGAACUAAAGUGCGCACAAAUCGCCCGUCACUCCCGCAACAAAGUGGGAUAAGUCGUAACACAGUAGGGGUAAUGGAAAUUGCCCCUAAUC